AGUGAACGCUGGCGGUAGGCCUAACACAUGCAAGUCGAACGGCAGCACAGUAAGAGCUUGCUCUUACGGGUGGCGAGUGGCGGACGGGUGAGGAAUACAUCGGAAUUUACUUUUUCGUGGGGGAUAACGUAGGGAAACUUACGCUAAUACCGCAUACGACCUACGGGUGAAAGCAGGGGAUCUUCGGACCUUGCGCGAUUCAAUGAGCCGAUGUCGGAUUAGCUAGUUGGCGGGGUAAAGGCCCACCAAGGCGACGAUCCGUAGCUGGUCUGAGAGGAUGAUCAGCCACACUGGAACUGAGACACGGUCCAGACUCCUACGGGAGGCAGCAGUGGGGAAUAUUGGACAAUGGGCGCAAGCCUGAUCCAGCCAUACCGCGUGAGUGAAGAAGGUCUUCGGGUUGUAAAGCCCUUUUGUUGGGAAAGAAAAGCAGCAGGUUAAUACCCGGCUGUUCUGACGGUACCCAAAGAAUAAGCACCGGCUAACUUCGUG
rnacentral:rRNA from 1 species